rnacentral:rRNA from 1 species
GACAGAGGGUGCAAACGUUGUUCGGAAUUACUGGGCGUAAAGCGUGUGUAGGCGGCUAUGUAAGUCGGAUGUGAAAGCCCCGGGCUUAACCUGGGAAUGGCAUUGGAAACUGGCGGGCUUGAGUGCGGCAGAGGGGGGUGGAAUUCCGCGUGUAGCAGUGAAAUGCGUAGAGAUGCGGAGGAACACCGAUGGCGAAGGCAGCCCCCUGGGUCGACACUGACGCUCAGGCACGAAAGCGUGGGGAGCAAACAGG